UAUCAUGCUUUUAAUUUACUAAAUAAAAAGUGAAUACUUUUAAAUGAAAUUAUUCAACGGAGACAAAAACUUUAAACCAGUAGAGUUAUCUCCCCAAUCACAGGGUAAACAAUGCUACCAGUCUGCUUACCAUGGCACUGCAAUUACUUCAGUCUGUAAAUUCAGGGAAUAAUAUUUUGCUUUAAAAUUAGUGUUUUAACCUGUUUUUACUUAUUAAUUAGUCUAUUGGUGUUGCACACAUUUAUGUUAAGGUGAAUGAAAAUUAUUGUUAACAAAAUAAUUGUUUAUGGAUUAUUUACUUGCUUUUAUAAAUGAUUAUAUGAGCCACGCCAUGAGAAAACCAGCCACUAUGUUGGUUUUCUCAUGGCACGGCUCAUAUUGUUUAUUUUACAAGACUGGGGUAAUUAAAUUUAUUGAUUUAAUCAUGUUCAUCCAGAUAAUUCUUUUAAUCUAUUGAAGAGUAUAAUGUAAUAAGAAUAAAGACUUAUGUAACCCUCUAUUUGCUAUACAUUUGGUAGAACUAGUAACAUUUUUUGGCCCCAUCAUCACAAUGUAUACAGUUAAAAUUUUAGUUCAUUGACAUACCCAAUAAUAAACCAAAGGUUUUUAUGAACAUUUUAAGUUUUAAACUAAAUCUAUUUUCAGGUAUAGCACCAUAUGUCAUGUAUGUAUAUAGGUAUGGCACAAAUGAAUGAAUUGGGACCUUAUCAACAUAUUGUGUUCAAAGAAAACCUAACGAAUCCAGCAGUUCAAAAACAUGUUUUGCAGUGAGACGAAUGGUGACAAUGGCUUUGUGGCAGUUAGUGAAAAACUGUGGCAUUUUACACUGAUGAUGGCUACAAUUUACAGAAAAUUUCUCAACCAAUAGUGACAUUCAGUUGAAAGUAAUAGCAUAUCUUACACCAACUAUUCAUCAGAAUGUUGUUGAAAAAAGCCAUGGCAAAAAGUGGAAAAUACUGAUCAAUAUACUUCAGUGACUUUGGAACUGAGUAGAAAAUGGUGACAUUUUAGCACCAUAUUGUGUGUUUACUUUUUCUUGCAUCCGCACAGUCCGGCCAGGAUCCAUGCUGUUCACUAAUGGUUUCUAUGGUUGCAAUAGCAUUUGAAAGCGAGCAGCAUGGAUCCUGACCAAAUCAAGCUGAUGCGCAGGCUGGUCUGUAGCCAUGCUGAUCGCAAAGCCUCUAUGUUGGUUUUCUCCUGGCACGGCUCAUAUAUAAAUUCAUGUAUGUAAAUAAUGUUUUGCUUAUGGUAUUUUGUCAGCACAGGUAAUGAAAUACUAAAAAAACAUAAAAUAUUUUGUUAGUGUUUUGUUCAAAUUUGUGACCUUGCUCUUUUGCAUAUCAUAUGUUUUGUUGGUAUUUUGUUAGCAGUGUUUUGUUAGUGUUUUCUUUAGCACAUAUAAUGUAACACUAAUAAAACAUUAAGUAUUCUGUUAGUGUUUUGUUUAAGCCUAAUUUGCAUAUCAUGUUUUGUUGGUAUUUCGUUAGCAGUGUUUUGUUAGUGUUUUGUUAGUGUUUUGUUACCUCAUUUGCAUGUCAUUUGCUAUACUAAUAAAACAUCAUCAAAACACA